UGAGCUAUGAGGACAAAAAAUUUGACUGAUAAACCCUGAUUUAUGUAUACGCUAUUCUGAGCCAUGG
ensembl:snoRNA small nucleolar RNA, C/D box 54